rnacentral:rRNA from 1 species
GGGCACGCAGGCGGUCUGUCAAGUCGGAUGUGAAAUCCCCGGGCUUAACCUGGGAACUGCAUUCGAAACUGGCAGGCUAGAGUCUUGUAGAGGGGGGUAGAAUUCCAGGUGUAGCGGUGAAAUGCGUAGAGAUCUGGAGGAAUACCGGUGGCGAAGGCGGCCCCCUGGACAAAGACUGACGCUCAGGUGCGAAAGCGUGGGGAGCAAACAGGAUUAGAUACCCUGGUAGUCCACGCCGUAAACGAUGUCGACUUGGAGGCUGUUCCCUUGAGGAGUGGCUUCCGGAGCUAACGCGUUAAGUCGACCGCCUGGGGAGUACGGCCGCAAGGUUAAAACUCAAAUGAAUUGACGGGGGCCCGCACAAGCGGUGGAGCAUGUGGUUUAAUUCGAUGCAACGCGAAGAACCUUACCUACUCUUGACAUCCACAGAACUUGCCAGAGAUGGAUUGGUGCCUUCGGGAACUGUGAGACAGGUGCUGCAUGGCUGUCGUCAGCUCGUGUUGUGAAAUGUUGGGUUAAGUCCCGCAACGAGCGCAACCCUUAUCCUUUGUUGCCAGCGAUUCGGUCGGGAACUCAAAGGAGACUGCCGGUGAUAAACCGGAGGAAGGCGGGGAUGACGUCAAGUCAUCAUGGCCCUUACGAGUAGGGCUACACACGUGCUACAAUGGCGCAUACAAAGAGAAGCGACCUCGCGAGAGCAAGCGGACCUCAUAAAGUGCGUCGUAGUCCGG